rnacentral:rRNA from 1 species
UACGUAGGGGGCGAGCGUUGUCCGGAAUCAUUGGGCGUAAAGAGCGUGUAGGCGGCUUGGCAAGUCUGAGGUGAAAGCCCGCGGCUCAACCGCGGAUUGUCGUUGGAAACUGCCUCGCUAGAGUCCGGAAGAGGAGAGCGGAAUUCCUGGUGUAGCGGUGGAAUGCGCAGAUAUCAGGAAGAACACCCGUGGCGAAGGCGGCUCUCUGGGACGGUACUGACGCUGAGACGCGAAAGCGUGGGGAGCGAACAGG